UACGAAGGGGGCUAGCGUUGUUCGGAAUCACUGGGCGUAAAGCGCACGUAGGCGGAUGUGUCAGUCAGGGGUGAAAUCCCGGAGCUCAACUCCGGAACUGCCUCUGAUACAGCACGUCUUGAGUUCGAGAGAGGUGGGUGGAAUUCCUAGUGUAGAGGUGAAAUUCGUAGAUAUCAGGAGGAACACCGAUAGCGAAGGCAGCUCGCUGGGACGGUACUGACGCUGAGGCGCGAAAGCGUGGGGAGCGAACAGG
rnacentral:rRNA from 1 species